UGGGGAAUAUUGCACAAUGGGCGCAAGCCUGAUGCAGCCAUGCCGCGUGUAUGAAGAAGGCCUUCGGGUUGUAAAGUACUUUCAGCGAGGAGGAAGGCGUUGUGGUUAAUAACCGCAGCGAUUGACGUUACUCGCAGAAGAAGCACCGGCUAACUCCGUGCCAGCAGCCGCGGUAAUACGGAGGGUGCAAGCGUUAAUCGGCAUUACUGGGCGUAAAGCGCACGCAGGCGGUCUGUCAAGUCGGAUGUGAAAUCCCCGGGCUCAACCUGGGAACUGCAUCCGAAACUGGCAGGCUAGAGUCUUGUAGAGGGGGGUAGAAUUCCAGGUGUAGCGGUGAAAUGCGUAGAGAUCUGGAGGAAUACCGGUGGCGAAGGCGGCCCCCUGGACAAAGACUGACGCUCAGGUGCGAAAGCGUGGGGAGCAAACA
rnacentral:rRNA from 1 species